rnacentral:tRNA from 1 species
GGGGUAGAGCUCAGUGGUAGAGCAUUCGACUGCAGAUCGAGAGGUCCCCGAUUUAAACCCGGUUGCUCUCUUCUUCA